CUCAUCCGAUACUUAUUUGUUCAAGGCCCUAGGACAAUAUUCCUGUAAUGGGCUGCUUUUGCCCUGAUUUCCUCCUCAGAGUAACUGUCUCGCGGUUGGGCACGAUCCCAGAUCACAUCUACAGUGGAGGUGGUUUUGCUGGGGAGGAUCCGCAUGCUUGUUUGUGUUUAUGCCUGGGGAACCCCCUCUUGGCAAGAUGUUCGGGAGAGGCUCCAAAGGCAGCACAGAGGACGGCUUGGAACUUAGGGGGAUUCACUUUAUGGUAAAGAAGCCCUUUCUAAAGGAGAGCUCCACCCAGGAAACACCACCCACCCACGCAUCCUUGCCUCCUAAAACCAGGUUAUGUUUAUCACAUACCUUCUAUGUGCUUUACAUAAAGAAUCCCCUGGAAUUCUCCAAACUGGGCAUUGUGGUCUGUGAUGCAUAUCUCAAAAGAGGUGAGAGGGUUGGGCACGGUGGCUCACGCCUGUAAUCCCAGCACUUUGGGAAGCCAAGGCAGGUGGAUCACUUGAGGUCAGAAGCUCAAGACCAGCCUGGCUCACAUGGUGAAACGCCGUCUCAACUAAAAAUACAAAAAUUAGCCGGGCAUGAUGGCGGGCGCCUGUAAUCCCAGCUACUCGGGAGGCUGAGGCAGGAGAAUCGCUUGAACCCAGGAGGUGGAGGUUGCUGUGAGCCAAGAUUGCACCACUGCACUCCAGCCUGGGUGACAGAGUGAGACUCUGUCUCAAAAAACAAAAAAAAGAAAAAAAAAGGUAGAGGAGAGUCCUUUUUCUAACUUUCUUGAACUCUUUGGACUACCUUGGGAUCCUUCUAUUAACUGCCUUGUUGGCAUUAUUCUCAGUUUAUGAAAAAACAGGCCCACAGAGUGGAAGUAAUUUGCCUACAGGUACAUCUAAAAAUUGAUGAAGCCAGAUAGGAACUGCUCCCUCAUCAUCUGAAACCCUUCCCAGAGCUGUCUCUCCCACCCCAGAAGUAGAAAGAAGCCAGACAAAGAUGCAUCUUGAUCUCCCUUGUGGUUUCAGCAAGGAAGCAGAUGAGUUGGAGAUGAAGCCCCCAGCCCCUGGGAAAUUGGACCCACUUCUUGCUCCAAAGGCUAUUGGGGUGACACAAGGUGUGUUUCUUUCCCGUAGAUCAUAUUCACCAUAUUUUGCCUUUAAAUGGAAAUUGUGCAUCCUGAAGUACCUUGUUAAGAGUCCAUUUUCAACCUGAAAUUCCUUUUUUUUGUAAACCACUUCAGCAAAUACAGUGUGGCAUUUACAUUAGCAACCUCCCAGCCUAGGAGAGGAUGCUCCAGCAUCCGACUCUAAAAGACAAAUUUGGGCACGGUGGCUUGACGCCUGUUAUCCCAACACCUUGAGAGGCCGAGGCAGGCAGAUUGCUUGAGCCCAGGAGUUCAAGACCAGCCCAGGUAACAUGGUGAACCCCCAUCUCUACCAAUAAUACAAAAAUUAGCCAGGCAUGGUGGUGUGCCAGUGGUCCCAGCUACUUGAGUGGCUGAGGUGAAGGAUCUCCUGAGCCUGGGAGGCAGAGGUUGCAGUGAGCCGAGAUCGAACCACUGCACUCCAGCUUAUGCAACAGAGCAAGACCGUGUCUCAAAAACAAAUAAAAAUAAAAGAUUUUAAAAAGACAAAUUAUCCCACAAAUGGUACAUUGUGGUGGUGGUGGUGGUGGUGGUGGUAGACCUCCCUCUUGCUCUUGAAAUUGGAUCAGAACAAACUGACAAUGCUACCUACUUCAUGGGGUCAUUGGUGAAUUCACUGAUAAUGCAUGCAAAUCCCCUUCUGCCUGGCACACUACCUAAUAAAUAAAUGGUGGUUGUUAUUGUUGGAAUUGGAGGAUAUAUUCCUAGUUGCAAGGGUUUCACAUGUAUUACCAAGUUAAUCCUCACCGCAGAUAUGAUUCUGUUUUACAGAGGAAGCAGUGGAUGCUCAGAGAGGUUAGGUAACGUGGGUCAGGGACACACAGCCAGGAAGGGGCAGAGGCUGGGAGUGCCUGACUCCAAAUUCAUGCAAUUUCUACCCCACCAUCUUCUCCCCAAGGAAAAUAGUCCCUAAUGCAUGUGUGCAAUGCUUAGAGGGCAGUAGAUGCUCAACAGAUGCUGAGAGAGUGAGGGAGUAAAUGAGAUAUGCCAUGAAAAGGAGCCCCUGUGGACUUAUGCGUGCGUUUGUUUAACUUGUGGGCAAGUACUUAUAGACAGGUGCAAACAAUAAAUCUCCUUUUGCAACUG
rnacentral:lncRNA from 1 species